CGAUGAUGGUGAUGAUAGAUAAUGAAUGAGGUCUUGUUGAUAAAACUCCACUGCCAGAUCAACUGCCCUCUCUCACAUGUGAACCUAGCACCUGCUUAUCUCAAGAUCUGUAAGUUAUUACACACGCCGAGAAGACACAGUUGAUAGUAUUCACCAUUCUCUCUGACAGCACCAGGUUUUGUCUACGAUGGUAUUCAAAGUGAUUUUGGUAGUUUUUCUGCUCACCUUGUCAGGCAUCAAUACCGUAACUUCCGAAGGUAAGUGGACCUUAUUCUAUACAAGAUACAGUAGUGAAAAAAA
rnacentral:lncRNA from 1 species